CACAAACCGGUGCUAAAGGGUCCCUGUCCCGACAGCACCUGUCAGUAGCCGUUGGGCAGGACCCUUUAGCACCGGUUCGUGUUACGAACCGGUGUUAAAGGGGCCUUUAACCCCGGGCCGCAAAAAGGCCGAGGUUUUUGGCCAUUUUGGGCAUCGACCAAUGCCUCAUUCUGUAGUAGUGUGACUACUCCUUUGUGUAGAGAUAUUUCUUUUUUUUAAUCAGAAUAUGCUAGUUAGGGAUCACGUGAUAGCAAUGCAUCACACCGGAAAAUGCAGGGUUUGCAAGAACAAGUCCUGGUUCUUUUUCCUCUACUUAAUGG
rnacentral:lncRNA from 1 species